UGGGGAAUAUUGCACAAUGGGCGCAAGCCUGAUGCAGCCAUGCCGCGUGUGUGAAGAAGGCCUUCGGGUUGUAAAGCACUUUCAGCGGGGAGGAGGGCGAUAAGGUUAAUAACCUUGUCGAUUGACGUUACCCGCAGAAGAAGCACCGGCUAACUCCGUGCCAGCAGCCGCGGUAAUACGGAGGGUGCAAGCGUUAAUCGGAAUUACUGGGCGUAAAGCGCACGCAGGCGGUCUGUCAAGUCGGAUGUGAAAUCCCCGGGCUCAACCUGGGAACUGCAUUCGAAACUGGCAGGCUAGAGUCUUGUAGAGGGGGGUAGAAUUCCAGGUGUAGCGGUGAAAUGCGUAGAGAUCUGGAGGAAUACCGGUGGCGAAGGCGGCCCCCUGGACAAAGACUGACGCUCAGGUGCGAAAGCGUGGGGAGCAAACAGG
rnacentral:rRNA from 1 species